AAAAUUGUUUCAGAUUUUUUUAAUGCAUUUUAUAAUAAUUAUUGAAAAUUUAAAAAUUAGUUACAUUUAUUGAAAUUUUUAGUAGUUGACAUUUAUAAUCAAAAGUAUGUAUUUAUAAUUAAUAUUUAAUGUAUUUGCAAAAAAAAAUGCAUUGUUUUGAAAUGGAGAAAAUAGUCAUUGGCAUAUUUACAGUUUUAAUUUCUUUUGUAAAUUAAAUGAAGAAAUACAUAUUUUUACUUUAAUAAAACUUAUAGUAGGUUAGGUAAUAACUUGGAGAACACGUAGUUGAAAAUUAAUCAUCUGUUUUGACGCACACAAAAAACACUAAACCAUUAGUUAAGAGUUGAAACUAUGGGAAAGAAAAUCAAAUGUGGUAAUUAAUGUCUAGAUGGUGCUAAUAGUAUAGAUUAGCAAGAAAUAAAGGCAGCUUCACUUUUGUAGAUGGAUUACUAACGGCGUCAACACGUCGGGCUUUUAUUGGCGCUAAAGAGAUAACGGUGUUUGUGAAACAGAGGCGUUGAUGAGAGAGGUGUUGUGUUUUCAUUGGGAAAUGGCCUUGUCGUGCUGUGAACAGGCAGGUCUGGGUGGGUGGACGUAAAGAGAUAAGUGAAUGGCUACGUGGCACCAGAGAAAAAGCGUAUUUUAGCAUUCUCUCACAAUUCAGGUGUCAUUUUCCAUGCUAUUCAGGCUAUUGUGCGCUUAAAAGAGUUUUCAUAAUAUUGGAUUGGUCACAUACAACGUUCAGAAAAAAAAAGAAUUUUUUACACUUGGAAACACUUCUUUAUCAGUUUACAAUUACAUCCAAAAACACAAUUCACUUGUGACACACUUUGUUGUGUGUAAAAGUCCUCAAUGCCCUUUAACUAGAAACCAAGUCACUCUUCUCAAUCGUGACCAAACUGAACAAAACAACAAGUAUCUCAUAUUAAACUUCUAGCUUUACCAAAUUACAAACCCUUAUCCAACAUAAAAAUCCUAAUUUCCCAACUUUCAUCUUAGAGGAGAUGAAAAUUAAAAUCCCUAAUCAAUCUGAAAUCCGAUGACUGUCGUUUCUAUUCAUUUUAUUCAGAGACGACGAAUUUAUUGACGUUGCUGGUAACGAAGUCGUCGCCGUCUUGAUCUGUUCUUUCGAGUCCUCUCUUCACCACCAAACUUUUCUUACCUCUGGUUCCAUCUCCCAGCCAUUGAGUCAUUCAUGGAGAGCCAUGGAUAGGCAUCAUCUGUUUCUUCUCUCUACCUUAUCUCAAAUCUCAAUUUCAAAACCUCUCUCCUAUCUCAAAUCUCCUUCUCUGUUUGUGCAUCCACGCAACCGAUAAGUGGCGUCGUUUUCAAGCCGUUUGUGGAGGUGAAGAAGGAACUCGAUCUCGUGCCUUCAAGUCCGGAGCUUUCGCUUGCUCGACAUAUGUACUCCCUUGAAUGUGAAGCCGCAGUGAAUGAGCAGGUCAAUUAAGCUUCUUUUUAACCUUUUUUGUGUUGUUUUUCAAGGACUCAAGUGUGGAAGAAAGAGACCACGCAAGAUGUUGAUGGAGUAUUAGUCAGCAGGAAAAACGUGGUGGGAGGGUUCAGCUAAAGCCCAUGGUGAUGCCUCAGUCUAAGUUUGAUUACGCUGACAAAGGAGAUGUUGUCUAUGCCAUGGAGUUGGCUCUAUCAUUGGAGAAACUGGUCAAUGCGAAGCUCCUAUACGUUUUCUUCAAAGAUGGGUUCCUAAUAUAACUACUAAGUUCCUCUUCAAAGAUGGGUUCAUGGGCAUUGUGAAGUAAUCAAAUUAUCUCUGAGAAUGCUUUUCUAUAGAUAAACAAUUUAUUGUAAUAAUUAUUUUUACCUUAUAUAUUUUUAAUGUCCAUGUUCACAUUUUUUAUUUUUAAAGAAAUCACAAUUAUAAUUUACUUUUUCAUACACA